CUCACUUUCUCUGCCUCGGACAGAAAGUUGAAGGUUGAAGUUGUGGGUAGUUGCUGAGAAAUGCUGUGUGAGGAAGAAAUUAGAUUGCAGACAAUGGAUUGAAAGUCCACCAGAAGGAGAAAAAGAAUCAACUUUCCAGAUAGGGAACUCAUUUUUCUUUUAAUAAAUUGAGGGAAAACUGGAAGAAAAAUCGACGGGAGGAAGAAAAAAAGAUUUAACUUUUCAAGAUUGAGGAAAAUCACAAGGAAAUACUAAAGGGAGGAGAAAAAGAUUAGCUUUUCAGCAUGGGACUACUCCAAAUGAUAGUUGUGAGAUUGACUUGCAUGAUGUGAAGGAUAUUACCAGUCAUCCAUGCCCCUUACUAUUGCACGAUAUGAGAGUUAAAGCAAAGAGGCUGGGGCUGUUAGCUGAGUCAUAUUUGGAGGGAAAGCAAUCAAUAUACAAAUUGAUUGGCCAAGUGCAGCAUUAAUGGUCCAUUGGGUUUACAAGUUCUUGAUGACAUCCCUGCAGAGAUGCGAGAUUUGUUGGAUGCGUAUGUGUUAGCAAUUGCUUAUUCUCAUUUUGUUUCUAUUUAAGAGAUUAUGACCUCUUCCAAUGUACCCAAAAAAGAAAAAGAAAAAGAAAAAAAUGAGGUUUCUUUAUGAUGUAUAUCCUUGAUAUUUUUUGGAGGAUUUUAUUUUUCUUUUGAUUGGCUUUAUCCCAUAAUGCUGUAAAACCUCUCUAGCAUCAAAGCUGUGCAGAAAUUGUGAGGUCGCUUUCCUCAAAACUCAAAAGACAAGAUAUGUUGAGAAAGAGUUUUUAAUUA